GGACAAUGCACUUUCUUCUUUCUUUUUUUUCGUUUCUCUUUCUACGCAAUCCCUUCGUCUUGAUUAUUCUACGAGUUCCACAGUAUUAAUUAGCGAUAGUUCAAUGACAAGAAAUCCAGCUUUGAGAGUGUGUGGUUUUAUUUUGUAUUUUUUCUCAUUACUGGUGACAGUGAUGAGUAGUGACGAUGUUAAAGAUCUAAUUCCCAGAAUGAAAAUAGAGAAAAUUAAUGAAAAUAUGUUGAAAACACGUAGGAGGGGAAGAAAAUAUAUAUUAACAAAACCUAAGUAAACGUGAAUAAUAGAUUGUGGAACACCACAUCGGCGAUGAAGAAAAUAAAGAAAGAGAAAAGGAAAAUAGCAAUCAAAAUUAGACAAUUGACUAACAUAUAACUUCUGAAGUGUGGGUUUAUUUUCACUUGUGCUUUGAAUGCUUUACGCAAGGGCAUGCGGGGUUAAGUUUAGCAAAUUUUCUAUUUAAACUGAAUUGGUAAUGUGUUGAUUGCUUCUCUU